AACGAACGCUGGCGGCAUGCCUAACACAUGCAAGUCGAACGAGACCUUCGGGUCUAGUGGCGCACGGGUGCGUAACGCGUGGGAAUCUGCCCUUGGGUUCGGAAUAACAGUUAGAAAUGACUGCUAAUACCGGAUGAUGUCUUCGGACCAAAGAUUUAUCGCCCAAGGAUGAGCCCGCGUAAGAUUAGCUAGUUGGUGAGGUAAUGGCUCACCAAGGCGACGAUCUAGUCUGGUCUGAGAGGAUGAUCAGCCACACUGGGACUGAGACACGGCCCAGACUCCUACGGGAGGGCAGCAGUGGGGAAGUAUUGGACAAUGGGCGGAAAGCCUGAUCCAGCAAUGCCGCGUGAGUGAUGAAGG
rnacentral:rRNA from 1 species